UGUGCACUGGUGGGGUCCCUCAGCCUGGCUUGCGCCCUCUUGCAAUCCGUGACCCUUCAGGGGAUGUCGGACUGCCCGGUUCAGCCCAAUCCCCUGCAGGCCAGGCUGAGGGACCCCAUCGGUGCAUG
rfam:Myotis lucifugus cont2.28148, whole genome shotgun sequence.